rnacentral:tRNA from 1 species
GGAGAGGUACUCAAGAGGCUCAAGAGGAUGCCCUGCUAAGGCAUUAGUACGGGAAACCGUAGCGCGGGUUCAAAUCCCGCCCUCUCCGCCA